UAAGGAAGUGUAAGGUGUGAAAGCAGGACAAAGGGAAUGGAGAUCAAGGAACAUGUAGAAUAGAUCAUUGUUAGUUGGGAGAAGGUAACAACAAAGCAGACAGGGGUAAAAUGUAGUCGGUGACAGUAAGACUGGACGGAUAACUGUGAAGGGGGAGGUGAUGGAGAGGGAAAGCAAGGGUUACUUGAAGUUAGAAUAGUCAAUGU